CCGUCGGUGGGCGCGUGCUCACGGAGAAAAAGGGUGCAACCAGCGGAGGGUCGGGCACUUGGACAAAGCAAAGGAAGAAUAGAGUGGGGAGUGAGCUCUGGGAUCGUAGUGUUGAGGGAGAGUGCUAUCUUCUUCGCCGCCGCCGCUGCGCUAAGUCGAACCUAAGGCCACGUCGCCUCGCCGAACCUGUCCUCCGUCAGAAAACGUAGAACAAACCUUGAAGAGACGGGAAGACUUCUAAAGAACGAACCUCUCCUCGCAACGCUGUUGUUGGGGCCUCUGAUUCGUUGCCACUAUCGUCGGAGCGCUUCUAUCCUCAAUUGGACCAGUCGACAAGGACACACUUUACCUCAGGGCAUUUGCGACUACUAGGUGUUUGGCGAAGGUGGUAGUUGGUGAUCUUUGGUAAACAACAUGAGUGUCCGGUCUUACCAGAACAUGAUGUAUAAAACAUGAAACGAACUUUAAAGACAUAGUUCAACCACGGAGUAGUCGAUUGUCAAUAGGACCCCGACCACUCGUGUUACCGGUAAAAGACCCUUUAAUUAAUGGGCCUUUUGGCCAGCACUGUCUGAACCAUAGUCUCGGUCUGACUGGUAACUGAUUAGGAUAGAAUCGGUCCAGUUUUUUGGAUCCAAUUGGUUGGGUGGUCUGGGAUUGGUUUUGGAGCCGGUUCGAAGGGCACGUUCUAUUGGUGUGUCACUCGGACUGUGGAAAACCGUCAGCCACGGGUUGGAUAGUUGGAUCGGACAGCUAGUGCGCGAUCACUGGCUGCGGACUCUGCAGAGUAAGUGUUCGCACGCUUCCUUCUGAAACAGGGGAAAAGAUAUUUUUCCUGUGCGAUCGGAGUUGGGUUGUGUCGUGUCGGGAUGGGUUUGGUUCGGUAUUACGAACCGGGGCAGCACGUCUUACCCUGGUGUUGUUGGUUGGAACCUCCGAAACACUGGUAUGAGCGUUUGGAGUGGGCAGCACGGAUACGCAGUCUUCUCGGAGGUCUUAUACAACACAUGGUUCCUGGGUACCCGCCACUUUCGACAGUUAAGACCUGGUGACACGUAUAGAUGCCAUCCCCAGAUAGAGGUCUUGCGGGGAUGUCCAAGUGGCCUUCCUGUUGAAGGAAACUCGGUGUUCGGUAGGUUGAUCGACGAGCUCUCCGACAUCAAGUUGAGGCCGUGAACAGCGGGUCUCAACUGACGGCGAGCAAGAUGAUGAUGGGGUCGGUACUUCCCAUACCAUCCGGUAGGGUCCAACGGUUGCCUCUAGUGCUCUGCCUAGGACGAAACGACGUAGAUCGCGCGAUACAUUCACGCGAUCUCUGUGACAAGCUAGUUUAGUGGGAACUAGACUAGCGUUGUGCACCUCUUGACCAAGUGGCUCGGGGCUGCUCUCCUCUUUUGUUCGGGCCGCGACUGUUAGGUCAGUACGACAAGCCUGUGGGCUAACUCAGGGACUCCAGACGGGGUCAGUGGCUG
rnacentral:rRNA from 1 species